rnacentral:tRNA from 2 species
GGGGUCGUGGUUUAGGGGUAUAAUGUCCGCUUCGCAUGCGGAAGGUCCCGCGUUCGAUUCGCGGCGAUUCCA